ACCGGAAACCGACACUGGUGGAUAGGGCGAGUAGCCCAAGGGGAACGAGUGAUUCGCCGUUAAGGAACUCGGCAAACAAGCGGCCGUAAGUUCGCGAUAAGGCCUGACCAGUGCGUAGCACUGAAUCUCGAAUAAUCUCGAAUUAUUUGUGAUUGAUUCGCGAAUCAGUCCCGAAUUCGAGAAGAUUCGUGUUCCAGCGCUGCGCGCUGGCCCACAGCUAAAGUAUUCCUAGCGACUGUUUACCAAAAACACAGCUCCCUGCGAACUCGCAAGAGGAUGUAUAGGGGGUGACGCCUGACCGAUGCGAGAAGGUCAAGGUUGUCGGUCAUUGCUUCGCACUGACCCGCGGAUUCUCGCGGAUAUGACGCGGAUGAACGCGGAUAAUUAAAAACUAUCUGCGUAAAUCAGCGUAGCAAUCUGCGUUAAUCAGCGUGCCAGAGCGGAGCGAUGGCUGAACGACUCAAGCCCUCGUCAAUGUCAGCAAUAACUAUAAUUGUUCUAAGGUAGCGCAAUUCCUUUCCGGGUAAGUGGAACUUGCCCCUUUUCACCGCAAGGUGAAUCGAAAAGCCGGCUAAUAACGGUGGACUCCAUAUGGUAGAAUUACCGUAUGGACAAUACCGUGGGAAGUCCCGAAGCACAUAACGCUUAUGUGCUCGGUGACCCCGUAACGACUGAGGCGGAAAGCCAAAAUAGGUUGGAUUCAUCCAACUAUUACACGCCGGCCUCUCUACUGAAGAUAAGAAACAUACCGGAAUAUAUUUCUGGAUAUGUUGAUGGUGAGGGAUGCUUUACGGUCACGUUUAACAAACGUGCAAAAGCAAAAUUAGGAUGGGAACUUCGACCAAGUUUCUCGGUUAGUCAGAAUGAAGAUAGACGGCAAGUGCUGGAUAUUAUCCGAGAAUAUUUUGGUUGUGGUUCAAUCCGUCGUGAUUUUGCAGAUAAAACAGUAAAGUUUGAGAUACGCGAUCAUAAUGAUCUUGUGUCGAAAGUUAUUCCUCACUUUGAAGAAUUUCCUUUGCUUUCGAAAAAGCAGAAAGACUUCGAAUUGUUCAAAGCGAUAUGCGAAAUUAUUCACGUGACAAAACAUCUUCAAAAAGAUGGAUUUGCAGAAGUGGUAACUCUUGCAUAUCAGAUGAAUGGUUCGGGCAAGCGAAAGAGAACGAAAGAGGAAAUUAUCAAUUCUUUAGUGUAGAGAAGAUGAUAUAGUCUGAUCCUUGCCGUAAGGCAAGAUAACACGGAAGAAGUUCCGGAGCGCACGAAAGGCGUAACGACUGGGAAACUGUCUCAACGGCGAGCUCGGUGAAAAUGCGAUUCCCGUGAAGACGCGGGAUACCUGCAGCGGGACGAAAAGACCCCGGAAGCUUUACUGCAGCUUGGUAUUGGCUUUAGGACUUUGAUGCGUAGCGUAGUGGCGAGGAUUUGAAGCGCUUCUUUCGGGAGGCGUGGAUCCGACAAUGAAACAGCCAUCUUUAAAGUUUUAAAAUCUAACCAGUCCAGAACCCAGCUGGGUUCUCGCAGACCAACGCAGAACGAACGCGGAACUACGCAGACAUUUUAUUUUUGUCUGCGUCAGUCAGCGUAAAGUCAGCGUAAGUCGGCGAUCCAGCUGGGAAGCUGGAUUGGGACAGUGCUUGGUAGGCAGUUUCAAUGGGGCGUUGUCCUUAAAAAUGUAGAUGAACGCCGACUGUACGCAGACAAAUGCGGACAGUUUAUAAUCUAUGUGCAAUUGAUUUCCGUUACUGCUUGAUGAAAAUCAAAAAUGUCAAUUGUGGGGGACUUAUUGCCGUAAGGCAAUUCGAAAACUAUCUAUAUGCUGGAACAACCGAGUAUGGAAAACUACUCAUGACUAUGAUAUGUUUUGUAUAUCUAAAGGUCGUAGUAAAAAUGUUUUCCUGCGGUCAAUCAGCAGGGAAGUUAAAAUUAUGUCCUUCGAAAUAAAAACGCCUGAAACAGGCGAGAAUAGUAGAUUAGAACAGUUAAAACAAGAAGCCCUAGAACGACUUCAAGGAUUCAGAAGGUCAUUAGAAUUCCAUCAAAAAAUGAUUAUGGAAGGUAAGGCAACUGAAGACGAACUUGAGCUUUUGUCAAAAGGGGCAGAUGCUGCAAGAGAAAUGUUUAAAGGAGUUCUUGAUUUAAAGCACACAGCGAAAAAAGAAGGAGGUAGUAAAUAACCCCUCAGAGACUACACGAUAGCUCCCGAUAAAAUCGGGAUGAUAAUAUAGUCCGAACUUCAUGGCGACAUGGAGAGACGAGCAGAAAUGACUCGUUCGCGCAGCGAACGCGCAGAACUACGCAGACGGCACGCAGACCAACGCAGAAAUUUUUCCGCGUAAGUCAGCGUAAAGUCCGCGUCAGUCCGCGAUUGUUGCGUAGCAACAAUAAUGCCAAAAGAGUAACGGAGGAGUUUAUUAAGGUCGGCUUAGCCCGGAUGGAAACCGGGCCGGACGUGCAAAGGCAAAAGCCGGCUUCACUGCAAGACCUACAAGUCGCGCAGAUGCGAAAGCAGAACUUAGUGACCCGACCAUACUUAAUAGAAAGGUGGGAGACAUCAGCUAAAAGCUACUCCGGGGAUAA
rnacentral:rRNA from 1 species